UUUUUCAAAUCAGUGAAAUUAAUCUCCCCGUGAAGAAGCGGGGAUACUCAUAUAAGACGAGAAGACCCCAUGGAGCUUCAAACCCAACUACACCCCUAGCUCUUAUAGCCCCACAACCCCCCUAGGCACCGUGUGCUUGGUUUUAGGUUGGGGCGACCGCGGAGUACAAUAAAACCUCCACAAUGAAUGGGAACACCCCCUUAUCUGAGGGCCACACCCCCUAAGAAUUAGAACACUAACAUAAAAUGAUCCAUUACUUGAUCAAUGAACCAAGUUACCCUGGGGAUAACAGCGCAAUCCAUUUCAAGAG
rnacentral:rRNA from 1 species